UAAGGUAGCAUAAUAAUUUGUUCUUUAAUUAAGAACUGGAAUGAAAGGGGUGACGAUGCUGAAGUUAUUAUAGCAUUCAAGGGAAAUUGAUAUUUGCUUCAAAAAGAGCAAAUAACUGGGGGGACGAUAAGACCCUAUAAAACUUUUAUUUGAAAAUUUGUUGUUUAAUUUAGAUUUUAAAAAUUAUAUUUGUUGAAUUAAGCUGGGGCGGCAAUUAAAAGACCUUAAAAAAUAUAACACUUAUUGGUGAUAAUUUAGAUCUUUAAAUUAAGAGAUAGAACAAGUUACUUUAGGGAUAACAGCACAAUUCUUUCUUAUAGACCGCAUAGAAGAAAGAGACUUGUGACCUCGAUGUUGAAUUAGAAGGGCCUGAACUGAGUAAAACAGUU
rnacentral:rRNA from 1 species